UAAGGAAUAUUGGUCAAUGGAGGCAACUCUGAACCAGCCAUGCCGCGUGCAGGAAGAAGGCCCUAUGGGUCGUAAACUGCUUUUGAACAAGAGAAAACCCAGGUACGUGUACUGGGUUGAUAGUAUUGUUAGAAUAAGCAUCGGCUAACUUCGUGCCAGCAGCCGCGGUAAGACGAAGGAUGCAAGCGUUAUCCGGAUUCAUUGGGUUUAAAGGGUGCGUAGGCGGACUGAUAAGUCAGUGGUGAAAUCUCUCGGCUUAACCGAGAAACUGCCAUUGAUACUGUUAGUCUAGAGUACAGAUGAUGUGGGCGGAAUAUGACAUGUAGUGGUGAAAUACUUAGAUAUGUCAUAGAACACCGAUUGCGAAGGCAGCUCACAAAACUGUAACUGACGCUGAGGCACGAAAGUGCGGGGAUCAAACAGGAUUAGAUACCCCAGUAGUCCCUGAGCGGGCUGGCAAGGCGCAU
rnacentral:rRNA from 1 species